rnacentral:rRNA from 1 species
UACGUAGGGUGCAAGCGUUGCUCGGAAUUAUUGGGCGAAAGAGCUCGUAGGCGGUUUGGCAAGUGGAAGGUGAAAUCCCUCGGCUUAACCGAGGAACUGCCCUCCAAACUGCUUGGCUUGAGACCGGGAGAGGUGAGUGGAAUUCCCAGUGUAGCGGUGAAAUGCGUAGAUAUUGGGAGGAACACCAGUGGCGAAGGCAGCUCUCUGGGUCCCUACCGACGCUGGGGUGCGAAAGCAUGGGGAGCGAACAGG